GUCCCAGCUACCCCUGCAAGGCACUUCCUGUGUGACAGGCUGCCAGGGGUCACAUGCCUUCCGCUUCCUGUCCAGCCUUAUACACAGACACUGGAGAGCUGGGACAGAACUAAGUUUUACUCCUCUAAAUCUGUUUCCAGAGCUCUACUAUCUGGACUACAGAGGACACUGUCCAAGGCCCAUUCUACUUAUCAUCCCACCAGCUCACUUAAGUUCCAAAAAAGGCACAUUAUAAGUGUUGCAAACAGGUGUCUCCUAGUGGACAUGCAACUGUAGGCAGUUACCUUCUCUGCCUAUUUGGAAAUCUGGCCUUGGUAAUUGUGCUGUGAGUCAUUGUGUAUCAUCCAUUAUUAGUCCAGCACUUUCAGACCAUUAUCGACAUACAGUGUUGAUGAAUUCAUACAGAUAAUGCAAAAGUGUAAUUUAUGUAUCUAUGCAGUUACAGAGUGUAGAGACAUAUAGUCAAUCUGUUUAAAAAUGAAAACCAGUGUUAUUGGCGUACAAUGGUGUGAAAACUGGCAUACAAUACCUAUAGAAUCAAAAAGCUAUAACCAUAAAAUGAGCUUUACCAGUUAUGGAUGUCUGAAAGUGC